rnacentral:rRNA from 1 species
UACGUAGGUGGCAAGCGUUGUCCGGAUUUAUUGGGUUUAAAGGGUGCGUAGGCGGCUUUGUAAGUCAGUGGUGAAAUAUGGCAGCUCAACUGUCAAGGUGCCAUCGAUACUGCAGAGCUUGAGUACAGAUGAGGUAGGCGGAAUUGACGGUGUAGCGGUGAAAUGCUUAGAUAUCGUCAAGAACACCUAUAGCGAAGGCAGCUUACUAGGCUGUAACUGACGCUGAGGCACGAAAGUGUGGGGAUCAAACAGG